rnacentral:rRNA from 1 species
UACAGAGGUCUCAAGCGUUGUUCGGAUUCAUUGGGCGUAAAGGGUGUGUAGGCGGCGCGGUAAGUCGGGUGUGAAAUCUCGGAGCUUAACUCCGAAACUGCAUUCGAUACUGCCGUGCUUGAGGACUGGAGAGGAGACUGGAAUUUACGGUGUAGCGGUGAAAUUCGUAGAUAUUGGGAAGAACACCGGUGGCGAAGGCGGCUCUCUGGACCGUAACUGACGCUGAGGCGCGAAAGCGUGGGGAGCAAACAGG